GGUCAGCAGCCUGAAACAUAGAGAAAAAUAAAGCACAGCAGUGUUCAAAAGCAUUUCUUAAUACUUCAACAUGGCCAAAGUCACAGCGUGCCUUUGUCAGCACAGGAAGGACAGGAUUCUGUGCAUCCCGCAUUUCUGGAGGCCGUGAUGCCAGAUGUUGAUGACCUAAGGUAUCAUGUGACAGUAACAGAAGGCUGACUCACACACUCAAUAGUUCUAAAAUGUCUCCACGAGAAGAAAUGAAUCUCACCUAUGGAAGAAUUCCAAAUAAAUGACAUAGACAUGUCCCCCAAAGGAAGGCACACAGCUCCCCCUUCUCACAUAUGAGCUGUGCCUACUGAUUUCUUUCCAAAGAAUAUGGAAAGGUGGGGAGAUGAUCCUACUGUGGAGAAACCUGCAAACCCUAUGUUACAGGUGGUCAAGGUCAACUUCUACCAUCCUAAGUCAGGUUGACAGUAUCUACCUCGAGGUGACAUGAUGGAAAUGGCACUUUGCCUCUGUGAUCUUUCUCCAAAGGGACCUCAGUCCUCUCAUGAUAAAGACAUGGGACCAUGUACAGUACAGGAGCACACUGUGCUCCCUGGGAGAUUUCAAGGUCAUUAGAAAUAAGAACAGUCUGAGACAAUGUCACCUCCUAGCCCAGAGGAACCUAAAGUGCCAUGCCAAAUGGGAGGGUUCCUGGGAAGGGACCCUGGGAGGGGAAAGAGGACAUUGGGUAAAGAUCAAGGGAACCCUAAUGAACUGGGGGCUCCAGGGAACCAUGAGGGGUCCACGAUGCUCCCUCAACCAUAGCAGAGCAUCAAGCUGGAGCAGGAUCUCAGUGACAGGGGACACUGUGCACAGCGGGGACACUGUGAGAACCCUACCUGCACCGUCACUCCAUCAAUGUAAACCUGUCCUGAAGCCAGGUCCUCUACUAAUUAAAGGAGAGUGCUCCCUG